rnacentral:lncRNA from 1 species
CCCCCCAUACUAAGCCCAACAUGCAAGGCGGACCCACCUGCUGCUUCUCCUGCCCCGGGCAGGUGCCUCCCAAGUGGCCAGCGCCCCCCGUCGUAGCCUGCAGUGGGUACACCACACAAGGGAACGAUACCGCACAAGCACAUACAUACAUGCAUACACACACGCGCGUUAACCAGGUUGGACCAUCACGUGAUAACGACGUGACGGGAGUCACAUCAGCGACGCACCCCCCCAGUGCCACGGACCCAGCGCCCCUAUCACGCAUGCUGCCGUUAACGGCAGGGUUUACCCCCCCCAUACUAAGCCCAACAUGCAAGGCGGACCCACCUGCUGCUUCUCCUGCCCCGGGCAGGUGCCUCCCAAGUGGCCAGCACCCCCCGUCGUAGCCUGCAGCGGGUACGCCACACAAGGGAACGAUACCGCACAAGCACAUACAUACAUGCAUACACACACGCGCGUUAACCAGGUUGGACCAUCACGUGAUAACGACGUGACGGGAGUCACAUCAGCAACGCACCCCCCCAGUGCCACGGACCCAGCGCCCCUAUCACGCGUGCUGCCGUUAAUGGCAGGGUUUACUCCCCCCCAUACUAAGCCCAACAUGCAAGGCGGACCCACCUGCUGCUUCUCCUGCCCCGGGCAGGUGCCUCCCAAGUGGCCAGCGCCCCCCGUCGUAGCCUGCAGCGGGUACGCCACACAAGGGAACGAUACCGCACAAGCACAUGCAUAUAUGCAUACACACACGCGCGUUAACCAGGUUGGACCAUCACGUGAUAACGACGUGACGGGAGUCACAUCAGCGACGCACCCCCCCAGUGCCACGGACCCAGCGCCCCUAUCACGC